UAGUACUCUCGAUGAGGUCACUGUCU
rnacentral:piRNA from 1 species